rnacentral:rRNA from 1 species
AGGGUUUGAUUAUGGCUCAGGAUGAACGCUAGCUACAGGCUUAACACAUGCAAGUCGUGGGGCAGCAUGGGGAAUGCUUGCAUUUCCUGAUGGCGACCGGCGCACGGGUGAGUAACGCGUAUCCAACCUGCCCCUUACUCCGGCACAGCCCGUCGAAAGGCGGAUUAAUGCGGGAUGCAGUCAGAAUGAUGCAUAUUGCUUUGACAAAAGGUUUUCCGGUAAGGGAUGGGGAUGCGUCCGAUUAGCUUGACGGCGGGGUAACGGCCCACCGUGGCUACGAUCGGUAGGGGUUCUGAGAGGAAGGUCCCCCACAUUGGAACUGAGACACGGUCCAA